rnacentral:lncRNA from 1 species
GAAAAUUGAUAGAAUUAUCCAAUUUUAUAUUUGGAAUAGUUCAGUGGUACCAACUCUAAUCAAGAUCUUAUUAUAUGGUAAGGGACAGGCAGGGGAAGUCUUCAGUUAGGGAAGCUUACAGGGAUUUCAACUUGUCCAACAAUCUGGUAGGCUGCUGGCCGUGGAAGAUGAUAUGAAAAGUCAAAAUUCCAUACAAGGUGGCUUGUUUUACAUGGUUAUUGGCAAAAGAAGCAGUGUUAACACAAGACAACCUAACUAAACGAGGAUUUAAAUUGUGCUCUAAAUGUUAUUUAUGUGGAGAGAAGGCAGAGACAAUUAACCAUCUUUUUUUGCAUUGCAAGUUCACCUUACAAAUAUGGAGAAUCUUCAUAAGGGGAAGUUCAUGGGCAAUGCCGGGAAGAAUCCUUGAUAUUCUAGCAUGCUGGAGUAAAGAGGGCACACAUUUUAGAGAUAAAAAAGAUGAAAAAUUAUCUCAGCCUGCAUAUGGUGGACAAUUUGGGAAGAAAGGAAUCAAAGAUGUUUUGAAGACAAGUCUAGUAAUAUCCAGAAGAUAAAGAUGAAAUGCUUAGCUCUUUUUUAUUUUUGGUGUAAAGGAAAGCUUUUGGAGGAUCGUGAAUCCAUUUUAGAUGUUUUAGAAUCCUUGUGAGAAGACCAGGGAUUAGAAGUUGUUUGUACUUUUUCCUAAUCACUUCCUUUGUAAUUAUGGGUGACGACUUUACAAUUUUAGUGAAGUCUUUAUAUUAAGAUACAAAUAUGUUGCCUUCUCAAAAAAAAAGUAAGGCCAAAAACCUACUUUACUAUUGACUCAAAAGUAAAUAAAUGUACGCUUUCCUUUUUCACCCCAAUUAUCUUUCCACCUUCUCCAAGCUCACCAUCUAACCAGAAAAUCAAAACAAAUUAAUAAAUGGAUUCCCAUCUUGCGUUAGUCCACAGUGUCAACUCAAAUGCUAUAUCGCAUCAAUGUUUUUAAAGCUAUGAUUAAACGUAAUAAAAUGCAGAUCAACUAUUAAUGACCAACAUACAUUAAUACUCGUCGGAAGUAGUAAAGGAUAUGAAAUGAGGCAUACUUUUUAUAAUUUGGACCAUUAAUCAGAGACGCCAAUGAGAAAGCAUAUCUGUUUAGAAGUUCCAUAUAGAGCCUAUACGCCACUGGAUAGCUCCUUCGAGCAGGGAUCACUCUGCAAAGAGAAAAAAGGAAAAAAACCGUGAACAAAAAACAAAGACUAAAAAACCAUUAACCAAUCACCACACCUCAAUCCGAAACUAGUUAGAGUUGGCUAUAUGAAUAUUCUAUAUCUAUCCUGUUCUAUAACAGCCAAUUUCACUUUAUUUUGUAACUGAGAAAUCCAUUGUUAAUAGCCUUGAAAAUUGGUGGAUAAUGGACUCACCCCUCUAGCCUUCUCCACUUAAAUAUCAUACUUGGUUCACGGAUUCAAACUCAUAGUCUACCAAAGCCCUAGGGGCUAUAGUAUACGAGCCAAUUUCAUUACAACACCAAACAUCACGAUAAACUAAUAAAGAUUGAUGCAUUUCUUAAAUUGUAUAACCACAUCAUCUAAAUUAUUAUUAGAAUGGGACACUUUCAUUAAUCUAAUUACGUAUGUCUCAACAUUCCUCUACGUGGGGGUUCAUUAUUUUCUAUUAGUACAAGCUCAUAAAAAUAAUUUCUAUUACUGCGCAGUUGUUAGAAUUUUACCUAGCAACUAUAUCGAAUAGGUUAUCACCUCACCUAAAAGCUUGAAAUUAACAUUAUAGUUGAACAUUUUGUUUAAUUAUAUUAACCGCCUGAAUAGGUCGGGUAUAUAAACUUAAGUUCUAUGGUAAAAAGAAAUAUUUACACAAUAACAUUGAUUGCAUGUUAAUAACAUUGAUUGCAUGUUAAUAACAUUGAUUGGUAACCUUGAAUAAAUGGCAAGUAAGCUAUACCUGGUGGAAAGAAGAGAGAGGACGAACAUGGGAGGGACAACGCGAAGGGUCAAAGCUUUCUCUAGAAACUUCCAAGCAAUAGGAACGUUAUUAGCCCAACAGAUAUG